rnacentral:lncRNA from 1 species
GUGUGAACGUGUGUGAGCAAGAGGCGCCCCCCAGUGGCGGGUUCCUGAGGUGCACCUCCUCCCUGACGCUGAGUCAGAUCUGUCAGUCCAACCAGCAGCCGACGCUGACGUGGUGAGCGCUCUUUGUUCCCAGCUAGUAGCUCCACCUGUGCCUCCACUGUCUCACCCCCAUCUCCCCACCAGCUCCCCCAUGGAGUCCGGCUCCAACCCAGUCUCGGUUUUACAGCCCCAGUCCGACACCUGCGUCUGGGAAGCGUCUCGCUUUUGUGACUGCACCGCUUUUUGUAGCUCCUCAAGCCAGUUUUUUGCUACGGAAAUUAUUAUCACAGACUCUUCUAUUACCAUGAGUGUCCUUCAGAACGUGGUACGUGCAACACAGCAAUGCACAGCUGUUCAGUACAUCCUGUUCUACGCUCUGUCCUGACUGUCUGCUUUUAUUGAACAGUUGUCAGAACUUCGAGUCCUUCACGCAUGUGAGCCGGGGUACGUUUGUAGCACCAGUAAAACCAGUAGAAACAAUCACAGCUGUUUAAUCAUGUUGUGAUAUAUAACAAAAAUUCCAGUAGUAAUAAUUCACACAUGGACAAUUCUUUGUGUGCAGGUCAAACUGUGCAGAUUAUGUAGAGAUUGUGGCGCGCUACCAGGUAAAGCUCACUGCAUCACUGCAAGUAAACGUUCCCCAUCCGUUCACGCUGGCGAUCACGUCUCAUAACAAAUCUCUUUACCCAGGCUGCACAUGUGGAAUGUCCGGGCGCCCAACAGAGGUACCUCCUAGCAUCCAUGUGCUCCAGUCGCUCCUGUUGUGCACAUCUAACAUUGAGGUGAAUGCUGGUAUGGUUCCAGGCUGUACAGCUGCAUGCUGAUACUGGAGAUGUCCGGUCCGGUCAAUGAGUGCUCCCUGGGAACGCUUCUGCAACAGCUGAUCAAUGGCAUCCCUGGCAUAACAAGCCAAACAGCACUUAAAAGACUGAGUUAGUUUCCAUGUUCCACAUUCUGAUAAGUCAUAUUUAAUGUUGUAAAUGCUUUCUCUAAUUAUAAUCGUCUGUCCUCAGUGGUUUGUGGCCCUCCUGGGUUGAACGUCACCAGCUUCCUGACAUAUAAUCUGACCUGGGCAUCCCUCAACCUGCUGAGCUCUGACAUCUGCCAGCCUGACCCCUAUCAGUUUGAAUGGUAAAUAUAUAACAUGUUUAUGUAAUAAAUUAUGUACUUCACAUGCGCA